rnacentral:rRNA from 1 species
UGCGAGUCAUUGUAGCAAUACAAGGCAGACGGCUCAGUAACGUGUAGUCAACCUAACCUAUGGACGGGAAUAACCUCGGGAAACUGAGUAUAAUGCCCGAUAGAACAUUAUGCCUGGAAUGGUUUAUGUUCCAAAUGAUUUAUCGCCGUAGGAUGGGACUGCGGCCUAUCAGUUUGUUGGUGAGGUAAUGGCCCACCAAGACUAUUACAGGUACGGGCUCUGAGAGGAGUAGCCCGGAGAUGGGUACUGAGACACGGACCCAGGCCCUAUGGGGCGCAGCAGGCGAGAAAACUUUGCAAUGUGCGAAAGCACGACAAGGUUAAUCCGAGUGGUUUCUGCUAAAGGAACCUUUUGUCGGUCCUAGAAACACCGAUGAAUAAGGGGUGGGCAAGUUCUGGUGUCAGCCGCCGCGGUAAAACCAGCACCUCAAGUGGUCAGGAUGAUUAUUGGGCCUAAAGCAUCCGUAGCCGGCGCUGUAAGUUUUCGGUUAAAUCUGUACGCUCAACGUACAGGCUGCCGGGAAUACUGCAGCGCUAGGGAGUGGGAGAGGUAGACGGUACUCGGUAGGAAGGGGUAAAAUCCUUUGAUCUAUUGAUGACCACCUGUGGCGAAGGCGGUCUACCGGAACACGUCCGACGGUGAGGGAUGAAAGCUGGGGGAGCAAACCGGAUUAGAUACCCCGGGUAGUCCCAGCUGUAAACUAUGCAAACUCAGUGAUGCAUUGGCUUGUGGCCAAUGCAGUGCUGCAGGGAAGCCGUUAAGUUUGCCGCCUGGGAAGUACGUACGCAAGUAUGAAACUUAAAGGAAUUGGCGGGGG